rnacentral:rRNA from 1 species
AUUGAACGCUGGCGGCAGGCCUAACACAUGCCAGUCGAGCGGAAGCAGGGAGCUUGCUCCUGGUUACAGGGGGCGAGGGGUGGGUGAUGGCUAAGUAUAUGCCUGGUAAUGGGGGAGAGGGGCCGGAAACGGGCGCUCAUACGCCAAACGCCCAGAGGACGAACGGGGGGGAGCUGCGGAUCUCACGCUAUCGCGUGAGCCUAGGUCGGAUUAGCUAGUUGGUGGGGUAAAGGCCUACCAAGGCGACGAUCCGUAACUGGUCUGAGAGGAUGAUCAGCCACACUGGAACUGAGACACGGUCCAGACUCCUACGGGAGGCAGCAGUGGGGAAUAUUGGACAAUGGGCGCAAGCCUGAUCCAGCCAUGCCGCGUGUGUGAAGAAGGCCUUCGGAUUGUAAAGCACUUUAAGUGGGGAGGAAGGGCAGUAAGUUAAUACCUUGCUGUUUUGACGUUACCCACAGAAUAAGCACCGGCUAACUUCGUG